rnacentral:rRNA from 1 species
GUGUCAGCAGCCGCGGUAAUACAGAGGUGGCAAGCGUUGUUCGGAUUUACUGGGCGUAAAGGGUGCGUAGGCGGUUCUGCGUGUCGGGUGUGAAAUCCCACGGAUUAUCUGUGGAACGGCAUUCGAAACUGCAGGGCUUGAGUGCAGGAGAGGAGAGCGGAAUUCUUGGUGUAGCGGUGAAAUGCGUUGAUAUCAAGAGGAACGCCGGUGACGAAGGUGGCUCUCUGGACUGCUACUGACGCUGAGGCACGAAAGCUAGGGGAGCAAACAGGAUUAGAUACCCCCGUAGUCC